UACGGGGGGUGCAAGCGUUAAUCGGAAUAACUGGGCGUAAAGCGCACGCAGGCGGUUAGUUAAGUUGGAUGUGAAAUCCCCGGGCUCAACCUGGGAACUGCAUUCAAGACUGGCUAGCUAGAGUCUCGUAGAGGGGGGUAGAAUUCCACGUGUAGCGGUGAAAUGCGUAGAGAUGUGGAGGAAUACCGGUGGCGAAGGCGGCCCCCUGGACGAAGACUGACGCUCAGGUGCGAAAGCGUGGGGAGCAAACAGG
rnacentral:rRNA from 1 species